AAUUUCAGUUGAAAUUUGUCUAGUUUGGCUAUUGUUUUUUUAAUUAUGCUCUUCUCUUAGGAGAUUAGCAUCUUUAAUAUACUAUUGUUUUAUUUCUGUGAUGGUAAUCAAGUUGUGUCUCUUCCUUCUCUGUUAGGGACUGAACAGGCUGGCCUCUGAAGCACAGCCAAGGGCUGAAAUGCAGAGCGUGAAGCUGACACAGAGUUGACACCAAGAAGCACAGAGCGGGAGGAAGACCCCCCUCAACCUGCUGGUGACACUCUUCCUAAUGCAAGACAGGCUCUUCCUGAAUGAAGACAGUGAUUAGAUCUGCCUCUGCUUAGCCUUCUCUUCUCCAGCCUAAACAAACCCAGUUACUUCAGCCUCUCCUAAUUUUAGUAGCCCUUCACUGACCUCACUCUCUUUGCCAGUCUCCUUGUUCUGGAGGGCCCAAGCCAGGACACAAUACACCAGAUGUGGCUUGACAACUGCUGAAUAGGUAGGGGUAAACUUUUCCCUGGACCCACUGGCUAUGCUCUUGUAAAUGCAUCCCAGCAUGUGGUUGAUGUUCAUUGCUGCAAGGGCACACUGCUGACUCAUGAACACCUCCAGGACCCCCAGAACCUUCUCUGCAGAGUGGCUUCCUAGGCAAUCACUGCCCAGCCUGUGCCAUAAUGGCCAUGCCGAGUCAUAGAGAAACAUGCACCAAGACAGAGGAAGCAAAAGCCAGACACCAGGAAAAGUGGAACAAGGAGUCUUAGGGAGGAGGAAUUAUACUGGGAUCUGUGAAAGGAUGCUCUGUGAGUGUAUGUUUGCAAGCCUGCGAUGGUAUAAUGUGAACAGCUGCUAAACAGCCAUUAAAUGAAUAGGAUGUUGGCUCGCAGUUUUUAACUGCAUGAAUCAGCUCUUCGGGAGUAUGAAAUGAGAAGCAAAUAGCUGAUAUCCCAUGUCUUGCAGGGCAUGGAAGAUACAAUGAAUAGACAGAGAGAAUGAGAGGAUGGUGUCAUUGUUAAAGCAGUUCUGUCCUGGAGUAUUUACUGUCCAUGCCUGAAAACACAGUUCCCAAGAGUAUCAGGAAUAAAUAACAUAACAUUUUUAACAGCUUUUA